ensembl:lncRNA
AGAAAGCAGACUGACCUGUGCAAGAAUAACAAGCUCCCUUGGCUCUUGCAGACUCUUGGAAUGAAAAAAAAACAUUGUCUGCAGAGACAAGACUGAGGCUGAAGGAUGAGGAGAAACAGGGACUCCUAGCCAAAUGGAUACAGCGAACCUGACAAAAAAAGGAUUGACAACUCAGCAUGAAGCAGGCCUCAGAUUUCCCACACAUCCAUGAGAGGGCAAAAAAAGCACUGAAACAAGAAUAGCUAUUCACCUGCUACAGGUGUUGGAAGAAAGAAGUAAGGAUUUUACUUUCCUUUUGAUCGCUGAACUGUGCUUUUUGUCUGUGACAGCUGCCAUCUAAUUAUUGGUCCAUCUCAACAGAAUUGAAAUGAUUUUGCAAGGGCAGAAAGAUGGGCAGCAGGACUGUGCACUCUAGGUCUCAUACUUGACACCUAGGUAACCAACAUCAUAUUCAAUCUCCAUUUGAAAAAACAAGUGAGUUCUGGCGCAACCUGGAGGGCCAGGCUCACUAAAUGUAGCAGUGCUUCCUGAGGCUUUUCUUGUUUCCUAAGGUCUGUAAUUUAAGACCCUGAGAAAUGUAAGCUCUUUCAUGAGAUUUAAGGAAUUCCUUUGUGAGGAUUUCCAUUACUGUCAGGCCCGCUGCACUUGUCUUUGAAGGGUUUGGCCAACAGGUAUCCACAGGCUGAGCUCCCAGAGAAUGCACGACUCAAGCAGGAGGGCUCAGAUGUCUCCAAUACUGAUUUGAGGAAGCAGAGUUUGUGAACAAGAGGGUCCACAUACCCAAAAUGGAUGUCACGUAAGAGGGAAGAAUGAUGAAUACUCUAUAUUUCCUUUUUGCAAGUCAAGAUGCUUUAAUCAAUUACAAGUUGGGUGCUCGGGACAGUGGGAGCUGAGUGGUUUUGUAGCUCUGAGUUUAUCCAACCUUAACCAUGUGCCAGUCUCCAACCCUGAAGGUCAGUUCAAGCAAAUGUCAUUCCUAUUGUUUGUGAAGUGCUACUGCUGCACGUAUUCAUAGAAUCAGAGGACAGCUUGGGAAAGAAGAAACCACAUACCUGAUCUUCUUGGAGGACCCAGCUCAGUAUAUCGAUAUCUCUCAUGAUCAGGGAAGACCAGAACUGGAAGCUGUCCCAGAUGCAGCCUCAUGAGCACUGGACAGAAGGGAA